rnacentral:rRNA from 1 species
GUCCUGGCAGUAAACGGUGCGCGUUUGGUGUGGGAGGAUUCGACCCCUUCUGUGCCGGAGCUAACGCGUUAAACGCGCCGCCUGGGGAGUACGGUCGCAAGAUUAAAACUCAAAGAAAUUGACGGGGGCCCGCACAAGCGGUGGAGUAUGUGGCUUAAUUCGAUGCAACGCGAAGAACCUUACCUGGGCUUGACAUGUAUCUCUAAGUCGGUGAAAGCCGGCGAGUGUAGCAAUACACAAUUUACACAGGUGCUGCAUGGCUGUCGU